UAAUCGGGGCAGGGUGAGUCGACCCCUAAGGCGAGGCCGAAAGGCGUAGUCGAUGGGAAACAGGUUAAUAUUCCUGUACUUGGUGUUACUGCGAAGGGGGGACGGAGAAGGCUAUGUUGGCCGGGCGACGGUUGUCCCGGUUUAAGCGUGUAGGCUGGUUUUCCAGGCAAAUCCGGAAAAUCAAGGCUGAGGCGUGAUGACGAGGCACUACGGUGCUGAAGCAACAAAUGCCCUGCUUCCAGGAAAAGCCUCUAAGCAUCAGGUAACAUCAAAUCGUACCCCAAACCGACACAGGUGGUCAGGUAGAGAAUACCAAGGCGCUUGAGAGAACUCGGGUGAAGGAACUAGGCAAAAUGGUGCCGUAACUUCGGGAGAAGGCACGCUGAUAUGUAGGUGAAGUCCCUCGCGGAUGGAGCUGAAAUCAGUCGAAGAUACCAGCUGGCUGCAACUGUUUAUUAAAAACACAGCACUGUGCAAACACGAAAGUGGACGUAUACGGUGUGACGCCUGCCCGGUGCCGGAAGGUUAAUUGAUGGGGUCAGCGCAAGCGAAGCUCUUGAUCGAAGCCCCGGUAAACGGCGGCCGUAACUAUAACGGUCCUAAGGUAGCGAAAUUCCUUGUCGGGUAAGUUCCGACCUGCACGAAUGGCGUAAUGAUGGCCAGGCUGUCUCCACCCGAGACUCAGUGAAAUUGAACUCGCUGUGAAGAUGCAGUGUACCCGCGGCAAGACGGAAAGACCCCGUGAACCUUUACUAUAGCUUGACACUGAACAUUGAGCCUUGAUGUGUAGGAUAGGUGGGAGGCUUUGAAGUGUGGACGCCAGUCUGCAUGGAGCCGACCUUGAAAUACCACCCUUUAAUGUUUGAUGUUCUAACGUUGACCCGUAAUCCGGGUUGCGGACAGUGUCUGGUGGGUAGUUUGACUGGGGCGGUCUCCUCCUAAAGAGUAACGGAGGAGCACGAAGGUUGGCUAAUCCUGGUCGGACAUCAGGAGGUUAGUGCAAUGGCAUAAGCCAGCUUGACUGCGAGCGUGACGGCGCGAGCAGGUGCGAAAGCAGGUCAUAGUGAUCCGGUGGUUCUGAAUGGAAGGGCCAUCGCUCAACGGAUAAAAGGUACUCCGGGGAUAACAGGCUGAUACCGCCCAAGAGUUCAUAUCGACGGCGGUGUUUGGCACCUCGAUGUCGGCUCAUCACAUCCUGGGGCUGAAGUAGGUCCCAAGGGUAUGGCUGUUCGCCAUUUAAAGUGGUACGCGAGCUGGGUUUAGAACGUCGUGAGACAGUUCGGUCCCUAUCUGCCGUGGGCGCUGGAGAACUGAGGGGGGCUGCUCCUAGUACGAGAGGACCGGAGUGGACGCAUCACUGGUGUUCGGGUUGUCAUGCCAAUGGCACUGCCCGGUAGCUAAAUGCGGAAGAGAUAAGUGCUGAAAGCAUCUAAGCACGAAACUUGCCCCGAGAUGAGUUCUCCCUGACUCCUUGAGAGUCCUGAAGGAACGUUGAAGACGACGACGUUGAUAGGCCGGGUGUGUAAGCGCAGCGAUGCGUUGAGCUAACCGGUACUAAUGAACCGUGAGGCUUAACC
rnacentral:rRNA from 1 species